GGUCUCUAAUUUAUGUGACUUGAACCUAGAUGAAAACAUUAUUAGACACUCGAAUAUCGAUUGCUUAAUUCAUUUAUUGUAAUAUUCGUUUACAUAAGUAUAAAUUUCAGCUCUUUAUAAUGACUAGAAGGAAAAAAAUGUUGAUUCAGUUCCUUGUUCCGCAGUCAUCUGUACGAUGUUUUUGAUGGAGAGAAUGAGUGAAUUCUACACCAUUGAAUUAGAGAUAUGACGCCUCUCAGAGAUCUAUUCUUGGUCCCCCUAUUCAAAAUAUACUGCAGUCAACUAGAGAAAUGCAAUAUUGCAGUAAACAUUUCUAUGCCGAUGACACCCAUAUCUAUUAUUUUUUUUGAAGCACACAGCAUCAGCAUAGACGACGCUAAAAAUCAGAUCACUCAUAAUCUCAACAGGUCAUUAUUAUUUGCUGGAGAUAUGUGUGCUCAAUGAUUAAAACAUAAGU